AUCUCCGAGAUGGUGCACGUUCUGCCUCUUGCGCACCCCGCCCCGCAUCGUGGCCGCGGCCGCACCCCGCCCCGCAUCCCGCCGGCGGCCGCACCCCGCCCCGCAGCCCCACCGCCACGUUCUGCCUCUUGCGCACCCCGCCCCGCAUCGCGCCCGCGGCCGCACCUCGCCCCGCAUCCCGCCGGCAGCCGCACCCCGCCCCGCAGCCCCACCGCCAGCACUCCCACGCGCAUCUCCCCUCUAACUCUCUACCUCCUGGCCCCCCUCUCCCAGGGACGUCUCUCGACCUCUAGCUCAGGGCGUCGACACCGCUCCCCCUCGGCGCUGCUCCCCCCGCCUCGGCAACGCUCCCCCAUGGCCCCAUCGACGCUGCUCCCCCCCCCCCCCCCCCCCCCCCCCCCCCCCCCCCCCCCCGCAUUAGCGGCAUCCAGUCAGUGGUUGUCUGGAUCUGGGGGCUCCAAGUGUGGAUCCAGUCCUACCUUCUCCAGAUCUGUUUUCCUCUCACCUGGGUGGGCUUCGUCUUGCCACUGGUCUCCUCCUCGGGCUCGUCGGCGUAGCCGCGGUGGGCACAACCCGCGGCGUGCAGAAGAACCGGAGGCUCGGCUGGUGUUGGUACCAGAGGAGGAGGCGGUGAGUUCUUGAAAGAUGAUGGAGGGGAGACAGACUUGGACCACCAACAUAUGCACGAGGUGGUGAAUGGGGUUCCCUAUGAGCUUCUCCAUCGGCUGGCGUCUCAGCUCCCGUCAGUCGCACUUGGAAGCGGAUUUCAUUUACCCUUUCUCCUCAAGGUGGCCCUCGAUCUAGAGACGCCGUCUAUCUCCAGCAAGAGCGAUACCGUCGAGGCGCCUAUCCACGCCAGACACAACGUCCGCAGUGAUGGGCGACCUCUAAGGCCUGAACGGUGCCACCAUAGGCUUCUCGGCGGCCGGCGGCCCGGAGGAGGCGACUGAAGAGGAGGACAUGCGGGGCUGCGAGGGAUGCGCUCGCCGGUGGCCGAAGUUGGGGCUAAGCUGGGGCUGUGCACAGUCGAGAAGACGAAGGCAAGGCGAGUCACUCCAUCACGCUAUGCAUGUCACCAAGGCGCGGCCUCCCAAUCUCGAGCCUAUACUUUUCAAUGAGGGUUAUGGAUUUAGCAGCAGGGGAACUCCCGGAGAUUGUGCCUCUUGGAAAAGGCUUCUUUCUUGCCAACUAUCCUAUUUCAAUUUUGGAUUGACCAUUAUCGUUCGCGUUCCUUUGUUCUCCAUCUUCAGAUUUAUUGGAACUUGAGCUAGCACCUGUAUGAGUCAAGAGCCUAGACUUUUCAACGAGGGUUAUGGAUUUGGCAGCAGGGGAACUCCCAGAGAUUGUGCCUCUUGGAAAAGGCUUCUUUCUUGCCAACUAUCCUAUUUCAAUUUUGGAUUGACCAUUAUCGUUCGCGUUCCUUUGUUCUCCAUCUUUUACCUCUUGUAGUUACACAAGAACAACUUGAUUGUGCUAAACAUGCAAUCAAAUCUGCAGUUCUGAUGAACUUGGAAUCAAGGGCUCAAGUAACCUGUCUCUUUUUGGUCAUUGUGCUCCAACGUGACAUCACAACAAUCAUUGAGGAGUGUAACCGGCAACCUCAGCUCUGAAAGAACCCUAGAGUAAACACUCACAUCAAGACACUCCACUGUUCACUCUUGUGCUGCUCCUACCAAUGGAGCAAGAGCAUCUCCACCUGGCAAUGGUCCACUCGUUGUAUUCAUCACUAAGUCAGCUCGAUUCCACCAAUGGGUGUUCAUGCUGUUGGAUGGAAAAUGACAACCCCUCUUUGCAUCAUGCACUGUUUUGUCUUUCUAAAAUAUUUCUGUUUGCUCCUAGCGGCUUGAACCCCUACAAGUGCACCUGGCAUUGGUUACCAAUCUGCAGAUUCAUAACAUCUCAUGAAAAGGAUACGUGUUGGACAACCAGAUAAGGUAUUACAGAGAAUAUGAAUAAUCUGGAGGUUCUACUGAUGCAUGUAAAUUAUGGAAUUAUGGUUUCAAUUCUAGAUUAUUUGAUAAUGGCACCUCUAUAUGCUCAUUGGGCAAUGAUCAGAAAGUUGGAGGUCAUAGAAAUACUGAGAAUGGUGAAUUUUGUUUACAUUUAUGGGCACUUUUGAAAAGAAAUUAUUUUGUAUGGUAGUAUUGUUGAAAAGAUCAAUAAUUUUAGAGACUUUGAUGAUCGCUAUGUGGAUCAUUGUGCACGGAAUAAGCGGAGCUGCUCAUAUCUUCUACUAACAAGACACUUAGCAUUCGUUGCCCACUCUUAGCAGCUGCCAGUACCGGUGAUCUCUU